rnacentral:lncRNA from 1 species
CUGUGUUGAGUGUGAAGAACAAUUCUUUAUACGGAUCACUGUCUGAGUCGCUGGGAAGUUUGGAAAACCUCAGGGUCCUUGCGUUGUCGAAUAACAAAUUCUCCGGUGAAGUACCUAAUCUCAGCAGUUUGGAAAACCUUCAAAUUCUUGAUUUGGAGAAUAAUGCUCUAGGCCCUCGAUUCCCUGUAAUUAGUAAUAAGAUCGAAAGAAUUGUGUUGAGGAAAAACAAAUUCACAUUUGGCAUUCCAGAGAAAGUUCAAUCCUAUAAUCAACUCGAG